AAUCAACGCUGGCGGCGUGCCUCAGACAUGCAAGUCGAACGAUUAAAGCUCCCUUCGGGGAGUGCAUAAAGUGGCGCACGGGUGAGUAACACGUAAGUAAUCUACCCUCGAGUGGGGAAUAACGUCCAGAAACGGACGCGAAUACCGCAUAAUGCAGCGGCACCGCAAGGUGACAGUUGUUAAAGAUUUAUCGCUUGAGGAGGAGCUUGCGGCAGAUUAGCUAGUUGGUAAGGUAAUGGCUUACCAAGGCCGCGAUCUGUAACCGGUCUAAGAGGACGGUCGGUCACACAGACACUGAAUAACGGGUCAGACUCCUACGGGAGGCAGCAGUCGGGAAUUUUGGGCAAUGGGCGAAAGCCUGACCCAGCAACGCCGCGUGAAGGAUGAAGUAUUUCGGUAUGUAAACUUCGAAAGAAUGGGAAGAAUAAAUGACGGUACCAUUUAUAAGCUCCGGCUAACUACGUGCCAGCAGCCGCCGUAAGAC
rnacentral:rRNA from 1 species